rnacentral:rRNA from 1 species
UACGUAGGGUGCAAGCGUUAAUCGGAAUUACUGGGCGUAAAGCGUGCGCAGGCGGUUGUGCAAGACAGGUGUGAAAUCCCCCGGGCUUAACCUGGGAACUGCACUUGUGACUGCACGGCUGGAGUACGGCAGAGGGGGAUGGAAUUCCGCGUGUAGCAGUGAAAUGCGUAGAUAUGCGGAGGAACACCGAUGGCGAAGGCAGUCCCCUGGCCUGUACUGACGCUCCAUGCACGAAAGCGUGGGGAGCAAACAGG